rnacentral:rRNA from 1 species
AGGAUUAACGCUGGCGGCGUGCCUAACACAUGCAAGUCGAACGAGGUAGCAAUACCUAGUGGCAGACGGGUGAGUAACGCGUGGUCAACCUACCGUUGAGUGGGGGAUAACUAGCCGAAAGGUUAGCUAAUACCGCAUACGAGUCUCGGGGGCAUCCCUGGGCCUUAAAAGGAGCAAUCCGCUCGAUGACGGGACCGCGUCCCAUUAGCUAGAUGGUGGGGUAAUGGCCUACCAUGGCUCCGAUGGGUAGCUGGUUUGAGAGAGCGACCAGCCACACUGGGACUGAGAAACGGCCCAGACUCCUACGGGAGGCAGCAGUGAGGAAUUUUCCGCAAUGGGCGAAAGCCUGACGGAGCGACGCCGCGUGUGGGAAGAAGGCCUUCGGGUCGUAAACCACUGUCGAAGGGGACGAUAAUGACGGUACCUUGGAGGAGCCCCGGCUAACUACGCGCCAGCAGCCGC